AGUGAACGCUGGCGGCAGGCCUAAUACAUGCAAGUCGAACGGCAGCACAGGGGAGCUUGCUCCCUGGGUGGCGAGUGGCGGACGGGUGAGGAAUACAUGGGAAUCUGCCCAGUCGUGGGGGAUAACGUAUGGAAACGUACGCUAAUACCGCAUGCGCCCUAAGGGGGGAAAGCCGGGGACCGCAAGGCCUGGCGCGAUUGGAUGAGCCCAUGUGCGAUUAGCUGGUUGGGGGGUAAAGGCCACCAAGGCGACGAUCGCUAGCUGGUCUGAGAGGAUGAUCAGCCACACUGGGACUGAGACACGGCCCAGACUCCUACGGGAGGCAGCAGUAGGGAAUAUUGGACAAUGGGGGCAACCCUGAUCCAGCCAUGCCGCGUGAGUGAAGAAGGCCCUCGGGUUGUAAAGCUCUUUUGUUGGGGAAGAAAGCAUUCGGUAAUACCGGGUGUCCUGACGGUACCCAAAGAAUAAGCACCGGCUAACUUCGUGCCAGCAGCCGCGGU
rnacentral:rRNA from 1 species